rnacentral:rRNA from 1 species
CGGGGGGAGCAAGCGUUGUUCGGAUUUACUGGGCGUAAAGGGCGCGUAGGCGGCGCAACAAGUCACUUGUGAAAUCUCCGGGCUUAACCCGGAGCGGCCAAGUGAUACUGUCGUGCUAGAGUGCGGAAGGGGCUACUGGAAUUCUCGGUGUAGCGGUGAAAUGCGUAGAUAUCGAGAGGAACACCUGCGGCGAAGGCGGGUAGCUGGGCCGACACUGACGCUGAGGCGCGAAAGCCAGGGGAGCGAACGGGAUUAGAUACCCCGGUAGUCCUGGCCUUAAACGAUGGAUACUUGGUGUCCGGGGUUACAUAGUCCCCGGGUGCCGGCGCUAACGCAUUAAGUAUCCCGCCUGGGGAGUACGGUCGCAAGACU